CGCACAUUGCGCCCUUUGGUAUUCCGAAGGGCAUGCCUGUUCGAGCGUCAUUAUCCACCCUCAAGCUUGGCUUGCAACUGGGCUCUAUUGAUCAUCAAUUGGUUCCAAAGAUAAUGGCGAUGUCAUGAAUGACUCCAAUGCAGCGAGCUUAUGCACGCGUUGAGAGAGUUCAUGUCGUCUGACCUUUGAAUUUUACACAAGGUUGACCUCGGAUCAGGUAGGAAUACCCGCUGAACUUAA
rnacentral:misc_RNA from 1 species